UUUUUAAAGUUAGUGGCCCUGAAUUGGCCACUGAGUUAGCCUAGAAAGUGCCAGACACUGUGCCGGGCCUCGGAGUUCCACAGCAGAUAAGUCCCCACCCUUCCAGAGAUGGUCACCAAGUAGAGGAAGUCUGGGUUAGACAACCGCAAGUAUAAACUGUGAGCUGUGCUGGGGCGGGGUUGGCAAGAAGGCCAGAAGAUGCGGGUGAAACCAGGAGCUCAGAGGCAGCCCUCUGAGCAAGUGACACCCCGAGUUCUCUAGGAUGAACAGGGGUUUGGCAGCAAGGGGGCUGGCUGGGGAGGAGCUUGAGAGUGGCAGGCACGGAAAGAGGAGAAUGAAGAGGGACAGGCUGAAGGGGACCCACCACUCGAGGUCUCAGGAAUGGGGCUUGUUCAUUCUCUAGGGGUUCAUUCUCUGGGGGUCUAGAUGGGGGCCCAGUGACAUGGAAAACCACUAAGGGUGGUGGCCAAACUGGUGUGUUGUGGGCCGAAUGACCAUUGAAAGAUGCCAACCAUUGUGCAGACAGAAGGAUCACCUUGAUGAUGAAAGAGCGGAAGAGGUCAAGAUGAAUUUGGAGGAGCCAUCAGAAGGACAAAAGAGGUCCCAGCUGAUCAGAGCAGGCGCGGGAGCUCGGGUUGGGGUGGAGGAGCAGGUCUUCUGCUCACAGCGAAGACAAAACAACAACAGCAACAAGACCUGAGCAGAGCAGGCUGGCGAGCUCGCCUGGCUUGGAAGAUGUACGGUCACUGGCGUGGCGGUCUGGCCGGGCCUGGGGAGGUGACCAGCCCUCUAGCGGAGUCAGGACCUUCCCUAGGGGAACAGUAUUCCCACUGUGGACCCUUCAGGAGCAGGAGCUGCAGCAGCCUCGGCCAGGGCCCUGGGUGCGGUGCCAGCCUGUGGCACUCCCACUGUGGGACAUGGCCUGGGCCUGACCCCAGACAGCGGAGAGGCAGCUGGUGCCAUCCCAGGCAGGACCUCCCUCAGCCAGGGCAGGCUGAGAUCUGCCCCAAACCUUCAAGAAGCUUCUGUUCAGCUGAUCAUGGCCACGUUUCUGUGAUUCACGAAGGGUGCCCAGCCCACAGGAGCCACCAGCCAGCCCCCGAGGCCUGGAGAUGUCACCAGACUGUGGGAAGUGAUGUCUCUGAGGAGUCCAGAGGAGAGGCCGUGGCUGAGAUGAGGAGCCACAGCCAAAGUCGGGGCAGACAACAGGAAGCCCUGCUGGGGGGACAUAAGCAGGGGUGGGGAGUGGGGUGGGGGCCUGCGAAGGCCUGACCCUAGGGACUGCCGCUGUUUUCAUCUGAGUGUUAAAAAGCCCAGAGGCCCAGCUGUAAACUGAGAGCCAACUCUCCAGUCAUCAACCAUUAAAAACGGGCAUGUGCUUAUGCAACA